AUUGAACGCUGGCGGCAUGCUUUACACAUGCAAGUCGAACGGCAGCACGGACUUCGGUCUGGUGGCGAGUGGCGAACGGGUGAGUAAUACAUCGGAACGUACCCAGUAAUGGGGGAUAACUAGUCGAAAGAUUAGCUAAUACCGCAUACGCCCUACGGGGGAAAGAGGGGGAUCGCAAGACCUCUUGUUAUUGGAGCGGCCGAUGGCUGAUUAGCUAGUUGGUGGGGUAAAGGCCUACCAAGGCGACGAUCAGUAGCGGGUCUUAGAGGACGAUCCGCCACCCUGGAACGGAGACACGGUCCAGCCUCCUACGGGAGGCAGCAGUGGGGAAUCUUGGACAAUGGGCGAAAGCCUGAUCCAGCAAUGCCGCGUGCGUGAAGAAGGCCUUCGGGUUGUAAAGCGCUUUUGUCUGGGAGCAAAUCCUUGUGGCUAAUACCCACCGGGGAUGAGAGUACCAGAAGAAUAAGGACCGGCUAACUACGUGCCAGCCGCCGCCGUAACAC
rnacentral:rRNA from 1 species